AUCCUUUUCUCUCUUUUGGUAUAUUAAUAUGGCCUAAUCAAGAUACUCAGAAGUACACAUAUAUCCUUGAGCUGGUACUCUUUCCUGAUUGCUGUUUAGGACACUUAUUUAUUUGGGUCUGAUGCUGGUGCUUAUAGUUGCAGUGGUCCAUUUUCUCUGGUAUACCCACACCCCUUCCACACACCCCCACCAAUCUGCUGUGAAAAGCAGCACUGUCUUAAUCGUAUAUUACAUACUUAAGGGUUUACAUGUAUUUAAUAAAAAAGAAUGCAGCUGAUGGAAUCUCUCCUGGUAGAGAAAGAGUAAAUCCUCCUCCAGUCUGAGGGAGAGAGAGAGGCACCAGCAGACAGUUAUUUUGCAGUGCACUGAAUAGACAAUUCACAGGGAAAUGUUGAAGGCAGAGAGGAGCGACCCCCAAGUGCAGUCCAUUGCCCACAUGCUCUAUAAUAAAUAAUCUUCUCGCACCAGCCCAGCAGUGUGUGCAGUGACGUGCGGAGGCCAGCAACACAGACUGGCAUGGAAAACACAUCCAGCGGUGUCGAAUUUUCAUCGCAAUCACCAAAUUAACUGAUUUCCCCACAUCACAUUUCCCUUACCCGGCGUGGUGCACGCCAGUGCGCGGGUGCGCGCACACUGACGGACACACACACACACACACACACACACACACACACAGCGGAGCUGAGAAUUGCAAGUUACUGAGAGGUGAAGUGGGGUCUCUGGGAGGAUGUUUCAGCACAGAUUAGAAACCCAAGUAAUGUGUCAGCCACUGGGUUACUUGCCUGAGGGUGGGGGUGUAAGCGGUGGGAAAUAGGACCAGGAGGUGUAAGCAGAAAGAAUGGGUUGUCUGCCUUCUCGGGGAUUCUGGCACAUGACAUAUCUAAAAUUUACAUCAAACGUAAAAUACACAAAACUACUACAAAAUAUUCUAAGAAUCUCUGCAAGUUUAGUUAGUUAAUUCAGGAAAAUUCUGUCCACUAUCUCUUUUUCACAUUCAUAAAUAUUCAUAAAUAAAACACAGUCCUGGUCUAUAUCCCAGAGGAGGAUAGGAGAGAGAAUGCAUUCCAAGAACUUGCUGAAAGAUGGUUCAUUGACCUCAUUUAAAUCCUCCAAAGGCCGAUUGGGUUUUGCACGCCUGUGGUUCUACAUGUCUCUUACUUUCAGAUUCCUUUUACCGAGGUUCAAAUAAAUUUGACCAACUUAUCUUUCCCACAACACAAAUAUACAAAUGAUUACAGAUGAGUUAGAGGUGGUCAAAGAUUUAUCAAGAAACCAAGACUCACCUAGCUUAAAAAAAUCAUAUGGACCGUCAUUUCACAUCCAUCCUGCCUGUAUCUCACACUCAAACCAUAUCCCUACACUACUCUUUUUAAAGCAACAAUCUUCCACCUUACAGCCCCUGCCCACUCAGCCCUAGCAUGAUGCCUCUGCCUCCACCACCCAAAGUGUGCUCUCCCUUUGCAUUCCUACUCCACACACUGCCGUUAUUUCAUAUAAUCAGCAUCGUUCUCCCAUUCCACACAGCCCCCUCCUCUCUCCUCCUAAAGAGAGGGUCUGGGGAAAAGUGCACCCCAGUUCCCUAGCCAGUCUGCAUCCUAACCCAGUGAUUUGCAUAAUAACAGUGUUUUGUGCGGUUUCCCUCCACUGCGGUCACAGGGGUUCUCACAUUUCACGUGAAAGGAUAAUAUUAAUUACGGAUAGAAGCGGCAGAGAGCAGAUGGAGAGUAGGAAAUCUAAGCGAAAAAUCCCUUAGCAGUAAAGUAACUACUAGGAUGCAUGUAUUUCUUGGCUUAAAAAAAAAAAAAAAGAAAAAGAAAAAGAAAAGAAAAGAAAGAAAAAGGGAAAGGGAAAAUCUUACAGACUGAAUAAUAAUUUAAAAAGUCAGUUUGUUGAUAAAGUGGCUUUAAGUCUCUUAAUUUUUCCCUCCCCCUGGCCCUCUCUUCUUAUAUCUUGGUUUAUUUAUUUUCCUUCUUUUUCCUUUUACUCUUUUUUUCUUUCUUCCUUUUUCUUUUCUCUCUCAGCUCUCUCUCGCUCUCCCUCUCUUUUUAAUUUUUCUUUUUUUAACCCCAGACAGUCUCCUCUUCCUAGGUGAAUGACACGUCUCACAACACAUUUCCCCCCCGGGGAUGUUAUUGCAAUGCACACUGUGCUGCCGCUGCUGCUGUUCUCGCCCUCCGUAGCUCGCUCCCAGGCUCUCACACACUUUUUAAAGACACACGGAUAUGAUGAUGGUAGGAAGAAAGGGAAAGAGAAAGGCGACCCGAAGAGGGAGAGGUUAAAGAGAUGACAAGAGAUGGAGAGGGUCGGUCAGGAGAGUGAUGUGGGAGGUGGCUGGUGGGGGUUGGUGGGAGGAUGGAAUGUUCAGAGAAGGCACAAGUUGCCAGCCAAAAGGCGUGGGAGUGUGUGUGUGUGUGUGUGUGUGUGUGUGUGUGUGUGUGUGUGUUGGGGGGGGGAAGAUCAGGUGAAUGAAAAGGCGAAAGGUGCCCCUAAGGGGCUGACUGCUGGGAGAGCAGGGUUGAGCCAGCGCUAGAGAUUGGAAGGGCUGGAGCAAACUGCCACUGCCCCCUGCCGCACCGGGGAGUAGGGGGAGGGGUUGGAAAUAGCCGGACUGGGGGACUUGUAAGGGGGAGAGUGGAAAUAUGGGGUGGAGUGAGGAUGAUGGGGAAUGGGCGUGAAGUUGAUGCUCCCCGCGGUGGGGCGGGGAUUACCUUGUAGCAGGAGCCCGCAGACACUGUAGAAGCGGAGAACGGCGCUGCGUUUCCAAAGCAUGGUCCCUUCUCUAAAGGGUUGGGGAAUGAACGAGGGGGUCAAAGAGAUGCUGGUGAGCGGGACACCAGAGCGCAGGGCUCCGCGGGUGUCUUCCUCACGGAAACCACCAGACCCAGGGUCCCCGCCGCUGCGGUGUUCGAACCCGCGGACGCGGAUUUGCAGCAGCAGAAGCGGCAACGGCGAAGCACCCGCAGAAUGGGGUUUCGGUGAGCAGAGUAGUUUCUUCUCUUCCUUCUCCUGCUGGUGGUGCAGCCGCAACAGUCAGUCUGCCAGGAAUGGGUUCGGAGCUUGCCUUGCUCUCAGCGCGCACAGCAAGUCUCGGCGCCCGCUGGGGCUGUCCGAGCAGGUGGUGCAGGGACGCCGGGGUGUCGGAGAAGGUGCGGACGAGGGCUGCAAGGAUUGGGUAGGUCACGGAAGGGAGGGGCGGGGAAGGGGGGAGCAAGCAUGCAGCAGCUGCCGCUCGUGCUCGGGGUGUCUCGGGGUUCUGGGAGAGAAGGUGGCAGCGGUGGCAGCGGCGCUAGAGGCG
ensembl:lncRNA